UGAAUUUAUCCCUUCAUUCUGCAGGCGUGAUGUGGCCUGCUGUUCAUCAGGUGUCAUGCUUGGCAUCAGGCAUCCAGCUGGGAGCAUGUUGCUGGCUCCUCCCCUGGUGGUGUGGUGAUUUCUCUCUGUCUCGCCUGUACCACAAGCUCCUGAGGUGUGAAGACGUGUCUGUUCAAUCAACUGAUCAAGUCAAGGGCAGCAGUGACAAGAUGUGCUGGGAAGCCUAUAGCCCUGUCUACAAGGUCUCUGCCUUCUCUUACGGAAUUCCUUUUUCUCCCCAUGCUUGAAGUCCAUAUUUCUACUACUACCUAACUUCUUUCUUGCAGCCAUUCCUGAAAUACUUUCAUUCACCAGGCAGAAAAUCGAGUCCACUAUUUUUCUCUACCAACUCUUUGGUUUCCCUAAGAUAAAAAGUCAGGGUCUUCUUCAAAUUCCUUCCUUCUCUAACCUUUCACAACCACUAAAACCCUGUGAGUCUCCCCUUACCUUAUCAUUGUGUCCAGCCCUUCUCUCCAUCCUCACUGUCCCAUUUCAGUUGCCUUUUCAUUUUCUGCCUGGACUCUGCCCACAGCAUCUUAACUGGUAGCACCAACUGAGGGCUAUCCCCACAAUCUUUUGUUUUCUACUUUAUGCCAGAGUUGUCUCUCUAAACUACAAAUCAUAUCAUUUCUUUCUCACCACCUCUCCCCUUGUUAAAAGUCUCCAAUGGCUUUUCCUCACCUUAACAAUAAGGUGCUGAGAUCCAAGCCACUUUCUUGCAGCAUGUAAGACUCUUCAUGAGCUGGCCUUGCUUUUUACUGAGCUUUCUAAACUCACACACAGCUCACUCCCUCAGCUCAAGAAUACUAAAGGUAACCAGUGUUGCCAUUAGGAAAACAUAAUUAUAAAAUGCAGAAAUCAUCUCACAUGUUAUGUACCAUGCUGCUUGGGGAACUUUAUCAAUCUUCAUCCAAAAGAAAAUGAUUCUGUUCCUUGUAGACAUGGAUAUUCCAAUUACUGUAAUAGAAUAAGGAAAUAAAUGAAUAUCAUAAAUUGCUUUGGGGCAUCUUUUGAAAACUUUCCUUCUUUUCCAAGGCACUCAGCUCUUAUACAGAAUGCUUCUAUGUUGUCUAGAACUGAAUCAAGGAAUUUGAAAACCAGAGAAAGUGCUAAAAUAAUCUAAUCCAAUUUCCUUAUUUCAUAAAUGAGAAAACUCAAGACCAGAACAUUGAAACAUUUGUCCAAGCUCAUAUAUCUACUAAAUGUCCUUUC
rnacentral:lncRNA from 1 species